UCCGUUCAUUCAGCCGCGAGCGCGGCGGUGCUGACCGCGGAGAAGAGCUGUCAAUCAUUCGUGGGGGCGGUCCUCUCCGCUCCGUCCCCCUCCAGUGCCAGCUUGACCGACCGAUGGAAGGGGAACGGUAUGGCGGUUGAGUGUGACCAUGGAGGCUGCGGGGAGCGGGUGCCUGGGAGCUGCGGAUGCACACCCUCCUGGCGGGGCCUGGCCCGGUGCCGCUGAAGGAGCCGCGCCGAUGAGGAGAAGCGAUCGAGAAGCGGCCGUGGACGGGAGGAACGUGGGGUUUGUGCUUGUGCAUGCAGGAGCGGGUUAUCAUUCUGAAUCAAAAGCAAAGGAGUAUAAACAAGUUUGCAAGAAAGCUUGCCAAAAGGCAAUAGAGAAACUGCAAACAGGUGCCCUUGCUGUUGAUGUAGUGGCAGCAGCCCUCAUUGAAUUAGAGGACUCUCCCUUCACUAAUGCAGGAAUGGGUUCCAAUUUAAAUCUCUCAGGAGAUAUAGAGUGUGAUGCCAGUACAAUGGAUGGAAAAACUUUGAAUUUUGGAGCUGUUGGAGCACUCAGGGGGAUCAAGAAUCCAAUCUUAGUUGCAAAUAAACUGUUAAAUGAAGCACAGAAGGGGAAGCUCUCUGCUGGCAGAAUUCCUCCUUGUUUUUUAGUCGGAGAAGGGGCUUACAAGUGGGCAGUGGAUCAUGGAAUUGUACCAUGUCCUCCUGACAUAUUGGCAACAAAAUUCAGCUUAUCUGCGUUUAGGAAAAACAGACGAAAACUGGAACUUGCAGAGAAGGUGGAAACAGAAAUGAUUCAGACAAAGAAGAGAAGAGAAGUGUCUGAAAACACUAACGUCACAACUUCACUUGAUACUGUUGGGGCAGUGGUGGUGGACCAUGAAGGAAAUGUUGCUGCUGCUGUUUCAAGUGGAGGCUUAGCAAUGAAGCACCCUGGGAGAGUUGGCCAAGCAGCUGUAUACGGGUGCGGUUGCUGGGCAGAAAAUACAGGUGGCCGUAAUGUGUAUUCUACAGCUGUGAGUACAUCAGGUUGUGGUGAACAUCUGGUACGAACUAUGUUGGCCAGGGAAUGCUCAGUGGCUCUACAGGCUGAAGAUGCCCACCAAGCCUUAUUGGAGACUAUGCAAAAGAAAUUUGUUCGUUCACCAUUCCUAGCCCGUGAGGACUCUGUACUUGGUGGAGUGAUCGUUCUCCGUUGUUGCAGAUGUUCAAUAGAGUCUGAGUCAUCAUUGAAUACACAAGCUCUUCUAGUUGAGUUUUUAUGGAGUCACACCACGGAGAGUAUGUGUGUUGGGUACAUGUCGACACAAGAUGGAAAAGCCAAGAUCCCUGAAGGAUUGCUGUACGCGGAUUUUUACGGAGACGUGGCUCAGUGCGCUGGUUCCUGAUGGGGUUGUGGAGCUAACUAACCGGACACUACACCACGCAGACCGAACAAAGGACUCCGUCUCAAAGAUCAACGGGUUGGCGACCACUAGUGUAGACGGUGUGACAGCAGACAAGAAAAUAAAGAUAUUCCCAAACCAGAAACUGUGGAUGAAUAAACAGACUCACAUAUCAAGACUUCCACCAGGAGCUGUGGCAGGGCAAUCACUGGCAAUUGAAGGUGGUGUUUGCAGGCUUCGAACCUCUGUGAAUUGAAUGUUUCACUUCAAUAAUUCUACCACACACAGAAUCAGAUGGACUAACUAUAGUCUACUUCUUAUAUUUUAAUUAUAUAAAUGUGAUUAUAAAAAGCAGAUUGUGAAGUUUAUCUUUUUUUGGUACCACAAUAAAAAUUGCACUUUGUACUUUAUAUAUCCUGAUUAUGCAAGUACUUGCUGCUUUUUUUUACCCAUAUUAUCUGCUUAAAACAAAGAUGAUUGUAAUUAACUUUGCUGGAAUGUUCAAAAGUUUACCUUUUUUUUUUCUUGAUUAGUACACACAUUGUUCCAAAAAGAUAAAUGAAAGAAAACCACCCUUCCAGAUUACUUGAGUUUCAAUCAAUGCAUCCAUGCUUUUAAUCUAAAAGGAUCAGGAUCGUGUUACUUUGGCACUUGAUUCGGUAACUAGUAAGUGCCUGUGAUUUCAUCAUUAUUGAUAACAUCACAAGUUUUUUGGCUAGUUAUGAUAAUAUUUACCAAUGUUUGGCUGUUAGUUAAUGUGAGGUUUGCUCGGAUAAAUACAUUUUGCUUAUAGAGAUACUGAUAAAAGAUAUGAUUGUGUGCACAAUAUGCUGAUAUUGUAUAAAACAGCAUUAAAUGAUUUAAAUGUGAAACUUAACCAUGCUGUUAGUACUGUCAUGCAGGACAUGAUAUUGAAUUUAUAGCAAUUUGACUGAAAAUUUGAUGGCAUGUAAGAGUGGGUGAAAAUUAUAUGCUUAAGAUAAAAACAGUAAAAUUGUAGAUUUAACUAGACUUCGUGCAAUGUAUGUAGAUCCUAAAUGUUUUUAUUUUUUAUUUUAAAUUGCGUACAAUUAACAUAUUUGAUACACAAGUCAAAUUGUAUUAUGAUAUCCUGUAAAACAGUACUUCAUUCACAUUUUUUGUUUGGUUUUGUUUCAACAACAAUUGGUAUGUGAGAAUAUCUGAUUUUGCUGACUUAACCAAUUUAUGCAGUUUCGAUUGAACAGGAGCAUCCAAGCGCAGGACCUGUCUAUGGCAACGUAUGUAGAGGCAUUUAGUAUGAGUAUUAAAAACAAUUUUAAUGCUGAAUCACAUAAGGUGAUAGAGUGACCAAAGUCUGGGCAGAGAGAUAGGUUUAGGGAAUCAGAAGAAGAAAUGGAGAAAUUUAUGGAGGAAAUUCCAAGGCUUUAGAAUCUUAGAGGGAUAACACCACCACCAAUGAGGGAACAAUUGAAAUUAUGUAGCUUUUAACGUCUAUUUAUCUGUUGGCUUCAUAGAUUUGGUUGACAAUUUGUAGGAAUCCUGUGAAAUCCUGAUUCACUGGGAGCAGUGCUUGUUAAAUGCUUGAUUUUAUCUAAUAUAAUAAGCCAGAGCUAGUCUUUUUUAAUUGUGGAUCCAGGACAAUCAAAGAUAAAGAGUGCAAUCAUUUCCUAAAAGUGUACAAUCUUUCCAUAUUAUGAAAAGUAUUUUGAAACUUCUAUGUAAUAACUUCUGUCAUUCUUUCCUAUAUACAUUUGAUGGUUAUCAUCACUGUAUUUCUGGAUUCUGAGUUAAAGAUAUGCCUCAAAGCUACAUAUUAAGCAAUAUCAAUAUUUAUUAUAUAGGUUAGUGUAGUUUUGUUUUCUGUUUUGGAAUGCCAAUCUAUUUAAUUUUAAAAGUGUGAUAGAAAACUAUAAAGGACUACCUUUGAUACCUCCCUCGACCAUCUAGGAAAACUAGCAAGUGGGAGUUUGUGAUUAGUUUAUGAAAAUGUUUAAAUUCAUUUUACAGCUAUGAAAACUUAAGUAAAAUAAGCAAUUUGGAGAAGUUCAUUGACAGAAUUUAUAUUUUACUGUUGAAUUUAAAUGUGCUAUUUUAUAUUGAGUUUACAGCAAAGAUAAAUAGUCUUAAAUGUAGCUCUUGAGCAAAGCUUGAACGUAUCAGAGCUGGUGUUGCACUGUACUAAUUCCAUUAUAUUGUAUGUAGACUGUCGGGGCUAAAUGAAAAGCUUUCAUUGGUGCUUUUAAAUUGAUUACAAAACAUGUUAAUGUUUUAUAUGCUUUAAUAAAAUUUUGCAGAUUUCUCUCA